UACACGACCGUACCGCAAACCGACACUGGUGCGCGAGAUGAGUAUUCUAAGGCGCUUGAGAGAACUCAGGAGAAGGAACUCGGCAAAUUGACACCGUAACUUCGGAAGAAGGUGUGCCUUUAGUAGGUGAACCUGUACAAGGGGAGCCCAAUGAGGUUGCAAAAAAUCGGUGGCUGCGACUGUUUAAUAAAAACACAGCACUCUGCAAACACGAAAGUGGACGUAUAGGGUGUGACGCCUGCCCGGUGCUGGAAGAUUAAAUGAUGGGGUGCAAGCUCUUGAUUGAAGUCCCAGUAAACGGCGGCCGUAACAAUAACGGUCCUAAGGUAGCGAAAUUCCUUGUCGGGUAAGUUCCGACCUGCACGAAUGGCGUAACGAUGGCCACACUGUCUCCUCCUGAGACUCAGCGAAGUUGAAAUGUUUGUGAUGAUGCAAUCUCCCCGCGGAAAGACGGAAAGACCCCAUGAACCUUUACUGUAGCUUUGUAUUGGACUUUGAACAGAUCUGUGUAGGAUAGGUGGGAGGCUUUGAAGUGUGGUCGCUAGAUCGCAUGGAGCCAACGUUGAAAUACCACCCUGGUGUGUUUGAGGUUCUAACCUAGGCCCGUAAUCCGGGUCGGGGACAGUGCAUGGUAGGCAGUUUGACUGGGGCGGUCUCCUCCCAAAGCGUAACGGAGGAGUUCGAAGGUACGCUAGGUACGGUCGGACAUCGUGCUAAUAGUGCAAUGGCAUAAGCGUGCUUAACUGCGAGACUGACAAGUCGAGCAGAUGCGAAAGCAGGACAUAGUGAUCCGGUGGUUCUGUAUGGAAGGGCCAUCGCUCAACGGAUAAAAGGUACUCUGGGGAUAACAGGCUGAUACCGCCCAAGAGUUCAUAUCGACGGCGGUGUUUGGCACCUCGAUGUCGGCUCAUCUCAUCCUGGGGCUGUAGCCGGUCCCAAGGGUAUGGCUGUUCGCCAUUUAAAGAGGUACGUGAGCUGGGUUUAAAACGUCGUGAGACAGUUUGGUCCCUAUCUUCCGUGGGCGCUGCAGAUUUGAGGAAGCCUGCUCCUAGUACGAGAGGACCGGAGUGGACACACCUCUGGUGUAUCGGUUGUCACGCCAGUGGCAUUGCCGAGUAGCUAUGUGUGGAAGAGAUAACCGCUGAAAGCAUCUAAGCGGGAAACUCGUUUCAAGAUGAGAUCUGCCGGGGCCUUGAGCCCCCUAAAGAGUCGUUCAAGACCAGGACGUUGAUAGGUCGGGUGUGGAAGCGCAGUAAUGCGUUAAGCUAACCGAUACUAAUUGCUCGUGCGGCUUGACCAU
rnacentral:rRNA from 1 species